GACGAACGCUGGCGGCGUGCUUAACACAUGCAAGUCGAACGGUGAAGCGCCUUCCUUUUUGGUGGGUGUGGAUGAGUGGCGAACGGGUGAGUAACACGUGAGUAACCUGCCCCCUUCUUCUGGAUAACCGCAUGAAAGUGUGGCUAAUACGGGAUAUUCUGGGUCUGUCGCAUGAUGGGUCUGGGAAAGAUAUUGUUUCGGUGGGGGAUGGGCUCGCGGCCUAUCAGCUUGUUGGUGGGGUGAUGGCCUACCAAGGCGGUGAGGGGUAGCCGGCCUGAGAGGGUGGACGGUCACACUGGGACUGAGACACGGCCCAGACUCCUACGGGAGGCAGCAGUGGGGAAUAUUGCACAAUGGGCGCAAGCCUGAUGCAGCGACGCCGCGUGAGGGAUGGAGGCCUUCGGGUUGUGAACCUCUUUCGCCAGUGAAGCAGGCCUGCCUCGUUUGUGGGUGGGUUGACGGUAGCUGGAUAAGAAGCGCCGGCUAACUACGUG
rnacentral:rRNA from 1 species